GCGCUUGUUGACUUGGGAAGUCUUUGGGAAACGUGCGCAGGAAAAGGUGGAUGAGCCGCAAGUACCAUGGGCUCAAAGGACCAUGCGGAGAUGUAUUCCAUCGUGCCUCUGCUGCUUCACUCUGUGGAUUAGGCUUCAUAUGAGAAGACAAUGUGGCUCUUCUCAGUAGAAUUUGGACGUGGGGCGUUUCCUUCAAACUCCAAGUGAAAGAUGCUCUACAGCCUUGGUGCUAUUGGUGAAGCAAAAAGGAAAGUGUUAUGGCAGCAACUGAAAAAAACAUCAAACUGACCGUGGAUCAACAAGAAGCAGCAGCCUGGAAGCCAAGCACCAGAAUGUAGUGGCUAAUCAUCAUGAAAUCCCCACUCUGGGAAACACAUCUAGUGAUGGAUGGAGCCCAGCUGAAGUUGCUGGUGGCUUGUAAGAGCCACAGCUGCAGUUAUCACUUAGAGACACCUAAUCUAUGACGAGAUGUUUGUUUGUGUACACAAAAAACUGAAUUUAGCCGAUUGGAAUGUUGUUUUAACCCUGGGUGGGAUGUGCAAAAUUGUAUUGAGGGGGAAUCGUCUCAUCUCAUUUUAUGCACAUGGGCUUGCCAGAAAUCCACUGCACAGAAACAUUGUCUCACUGAAGCAAAUGAAAUUAAACAUUUUCAGAGCCAUCACUAGUUUCGUUUUGCCAUAAGUUUGGCAAAAUCACUGAGAUGUUCACAUACAUCACCAAAUUCCACAAAGUGCACUGAAGUCAAUAAGGAGCUGAACUAAUUCAGAGUGGAUUGUAGUCUGCUGUUUAAAGGGUCCCUGACAGCUAGGAAAGCAUCUGCCAACUACGCUGGACCGAUUAUUAUGGCCAAAAAUGUGAUCUGAGGUGUGAGGAAACAGUGCUAACCACUGCAUCACCGUGCCUCAAAUAAACAAAAGGUGCAGACAGGACGGUAACAACAAAUUACAAGAAACAAACACAUACUUGUAAUAAGUAAAAAAAAUUAAUUCAUGGACAAAUUUGCCAGUACUCCCUCCACGAAAAAGAAAGAACCCAUAAUAAUCUCUGGAAUAAUUUGAAACUGAUAAAAGUAAAUCGGCACCCGUCAUUGUUUCUGUAUUUAAUAAAAAUCAGACGUUUUGAUUCAACAUAAUAUUUAAAAUAGUAACACAAAUGGCAUAGAUAAAAAUGACAGGACUCUUAACCUCAUACAGGUUAAAAAAUUCAAGGGACCAUAAAAAUAUUUUGUUAUGAUGGAUAUGAGGAAAAUAUGUAUAGAACUGUGAUUGGGGUCGCCCACGAUUUGUCAUCUCUAACUGCAGAAGCACAAGGACAACUCGGUAGCUGCCUCUUACGGUGUAAUGUGCUCGUCGCACAAUGUUUAGAACAUUUAACACCCAACCUGGACUCACCUUUCUGUCUCUCACGCAGCUAACUCUGUGACCCAAGCUUGACAAUACCUAUAGAACGAAACAGCUUUUAGCUUCUGUUAUAUUAAUUAUUUUUUUCUCUGCCAUCACUGCAAACUACAUGGGGUAAAUAACAUACAAACAAAUAACACUUUUGGGUUGAGUACUCUAAGAUGGCCAUCUAAGAUGUUCUGUUCAGGUGAUGCCGUACGCUUGUUGAAGAUGAACUAGUUUAACAGAUUAGUGUAUGAUGACCUCAAUGAACAGAAUCAGGGCUAGCUGGAAAAUGGAGGAGACCAAGGAAAUAAUUUCAUAACGUGAAUGGGGGCAAGUUCAAGUUUAUCAUCAUGUACAAAGUACAGGGUGGCACAGGGAAAUGGGAAAUUUUCAAUU